rnacentral:sRNA from 1 species
GUUGGGUGCAGCAGCGCAUGCCUGUAAUCCUAGCUACUUGGGAGGCUGAAGCAGGAGGAUUGUAAGAGGCCAGCCUGGGAAUCUUAGUGAGACCCUGUCUCAA